rnacentral:miRNA from 1 species
CUGGCUCAGCUCAGUGCCUCUCCCCCUCAGCUUCCUUGGGAGGGGAGGAGGGGGAGCCUGGGCUCGUCUCUGCUGGGGUUUCUCCU